rnacentral:lncRNA from 1 species
GGAGGGACCUGGAUACUGAGCCCGGUUCUCAGGAAUUUGGACAGCUGUCCCUGGACCACCACCAAGACUCUGCCUUCCAGACCGAGAUGGAGAACUGAGCAUGUGGCAGCGGGACGAACGCUACAGCCUCGUGGCCAUCCGUUCGCUGCAGCCUCAGCCUCCUUUCUGUAAGGAAUGGAUGCCGGUGCCCAUCUCCCAGGACGGUCAGGAGGAGUAAGUGGCCCAGCACUGCAGGCACCAGGUAAAUCAAGGCUGCCUCUCUCCUCUUCCAUCUCCAUGCUAACUGCACUUGAACUUUGAUCCAGAGAACUCCAACAUUUGAUUCUAGAGACAGGAUCCUGGGAUUCUGGUUAUUGGGCGUUUCUGGAUGUGCAAUCAAUCUGCACAUGUUUCGGACCAGAAACCACAUUCUGCCCCAGGCUCAAGGAACACUGGCUCCAUCUGCUGACAUCUGGCUUCUCUCCCGCCUCCCCGUUCUGUCUCAGAGAUGCCUGACCUUGCUCUUCCCCAGUAACUCUCUCCUUUGGGGCCUCAGAGCCCCAUCCCCGCCCGUAAUCCUAGCUCUUGGCUGCUCCACGCCCAAGGCAGAUGGUGUUGAGUAAUGGGGCUUCUCCCUUGGUUGGAUGGGCCAGAGCUGACUUCAGCAUCAUGCUGGCACGCGGCUUUUGGAGCUUAGCACUUUCUCUUCUUCACGAUCUGGGUGGGGAGGGUGGAGGGAAAGGGAGGGAUGACUGUUUUGGAAUCCUUUCUGCAGCUGGGGUAUUUGUGGGCAGAUUGCAUUCGGAGCCUCCAACUUCCCUGCCACUGAACUUCCCCAAAGACAUCUCUCUUUGUUUGCCUGUAUGUCACUCUGCCGGAGUCUAAAAGGCUUCUUCCAUGUGCUUUUAUAUAUUCAUUUGAAAUGACUCCUCCAAUAUUUAAUCUUUAUCAGAACCUGGAAGUCUGGUAUUUAUUUUGCGGGUCAGUUGCUCAUCCAUUUUCCUCGAGGGCUCUGGCAGGAGGCUGGAGAGCCUGACGCCCCCGGGGGGGUGCCGCCAUCAACAUUAGUCCUGGUGACAGCAGGACAAAUCAAAGCGCUGCAGGCUACCAGGGAGAAGAUAAAUCUGGUGAAAGGCUAAUGAGUAAACUUGGCUGCGGCAAGAGAGGACCUUCAAGAGUCUCCAGGCCUCUUUCUAGUUUCGGGGGUGUGGGUCAUUUUCCAGGGAGCUGGCACGAGCAGGCAUGGGGCUGGCAUGAGUCGAGUUUUUCCAGAGUGAGGUGCUUGGGCACCAGAGUUUAAACUUCCGGGCAGUGGGAAAGAGCAGUGAGUGAGAACAUCACUUCUCAAAGCAUCUGACUUUUUUCUCCCAUGGGAGAAAAGCCCAGGAAUAUAAUUCUACUGCAGUAGGGUCUUGGGUUAGACACAUGAAAGAAUUUUUUAGAGGGUAAGCCUUGACCGGAUACCUGCGGAAAGUGAUGGAUAGCUUUCUUUUGUGGGUGCAGGGUUUAUUUAUUUAUUUAUUUAUUUAUUUAUUUUUAUUUAUUUAUUUUGUCUUUUUGCUAUUUCUUUGGGCCGCUUCCCUGGGCAUAAGGAGGUUCCCAGGCUAGGGGUUGAAUCGGAGCUGUAGCCACUGGCCUACGCAAGAGCCACAGCAACUCGGGAUCCGAGCCGCGUCUGCAACCUACACCGCAGCUCAUGGCAACGCCGGAUCGUUAACCCACUGAGCAAGGGCAGGGACCGAACCCGCAACCUCAUGGCUCCUAGUCAGAUUCGUGAACCACUGCACCACGACAGGAACUCCUGUGGGUGCAGAGUUUAGAAUGCACACUCAUGUGUCUAGGCAGGGGAAUGCUCAUCUAUUUCGAAAUAUGUCUGAAACACCUAUUUUAUAUGGGGCCACAGUACCAGGUUCCUAGACUCUAAAGGUAGUGCCUGAUUGCAAGGAAGUUACAGGGGGUACCAAAGAACCAGGAUAGCAAAGAGGUUUUUAUUUCCUUCUUGAUUCCAUUGGAUUAGGAGUGGCUGCUUGGAACCUCUUGUUAAGAACAAGGGGAAAACUUCAUCUUGGUUUGAGAAGAAAGCGUGUGGAAGUCGAUCGGCAAUGCCUGCCUUGCUUCAGCACUGGUGGUGUGGUGGUACCUGCUGGCCAACUCUGCCAAAGGGAAGGAGCUCUUUUAAUUCAGCCAUGACGUUACAAAUGGGUACCUCGUGUCUAGUCUUGGGAGGGGCAUGACUCUAAGUCCAGUCUAGGUGGGGAAAUACAGGAGACGGUGAGGAACGCUGUUAUUAGCACUGUCUGAAGUCCUCAAAGAGGGAAGCUGGAGGACCUCUUGGAAAGGAGAGGAAGGGUGGGCUGAAAUUCUCAGGAAGGUUUCUUGGGGCAGCAAAAGGGAGAAGAGGAACCCAGCACAGGAGCAGCUAAGCCCACCCGGAACAUCAGUAUUCUGCCAUCAAAAGCUGUUCUUGAAGAGCAGGUGAGAAGGGAGGGACCGAGAAGGACAGGAAAGCCCAAGUGAGCUGGUUUGUUCUUCCUUCCUUUUAACUUCCACUGGCCCCUUCUCUCAGAAGCCUCUCCUGGCUGCUCCCAGCCUGCCCGGGCUGGUGCAUUUCAAAGUGCUGCCUGGUGGAGGGAGCAGUUCUUGGGGAAGCGGUGCUGACCCUGCUCUUGCAGGCAUGUGAUGAAUAUUUUAUAGCCCAGAUGUAAUCCUGGCCACAAUUUUCUCUCCUUCCCCUCGCCAGCACCCCUCUCCUCACGGUCUUCUGCCUCCACCCCAGCCCCAGUCCCCAACUGCUCCCAAGUCAGGAAAAUCAGUCAAAACAUUUAUCAGGAAUCGGUAUGAACCAGCCAAGCGCUGUGAAGAGCUAAUCUGCAGAGCUAAUAAGAAUGAACAAAGUCACCACAGACUUCGCCAUGGGCAUCGCUGAUAAGAAUUUGUCAGAAGAAUUGCAGGUAAGAUCAGAACAGCCCCGGGAAGUGGAAUGCAAAUGCCUCUGUUCCCAGGGCUCUGUUGGCACCCCCCUCUGUGCAGACUGGAGGCUCCAGAACAGUCAGAAUCUCGCCCAGGAGUGGGACAGUCGGGGGAGACUGCGGCAACACGGGUCCUGCAGAAAUGUGGGACAAAAUCCACUGAGCACAGGGAUGGGGAGCACAGGGUGGGAAAGGGGGAGGAAGACGGCUUGGAAGGCUCCCUUUCUCCACUCCUUAGCAGAGCGGCCACGGCAGGCAGGUGAAUGAUGGGAGAUUCGAUGCAGGUACAUUAGAUACAGAAAAUCAGAUCCUCAACAAGUGCAAGGUGCUGGAGACUGGAAGAGGGUCUCUGAAUUGCCCAUCUGGAAACCAGAUGCUUGAGAGUGGCGGCCAGAGCAAGGGUGGUGGAAUCAGCCGCACAUGAGUGUGAACGCCAGUUCUACCGGUUUCCAGGUUGAGACCUUGAGAAAGUUGCUUAGCUUCCCUGAGCCUGUUUUCUCCUCUAGCCAUACUGCUAGCAUUACUACCUCAUGGGACUGCUUGCGAGAAUAAAUAAGGGGACAUUCUGUUCCUAUGGGCACAAUGCCAUGCGUGGCACAGAACAGGGCUCAAAAAAAUUAGCUGUCAUCCUGUUCUUGGUUUUACAGGCAGUUUUGCCUAAAGACAGCCUCUCACGUAAUGGCGUUAUUCAGAUGUCAACAAACUUUUUCUGUAAAGGCCCAAUAAUAUAUAUAUUAGACUUUCAGGCCAUAUGAUUUCAAUCAGAAUUAUUAAACUCUUCUAUUAGAGCAACAAAGCCAUCAUAGAAGGAAUCAGCAUGGCUGUGAUCCAAUAAAGCUGUAAUUUAUGAGCCAGGUUUGAUCUGGGGGCCACAGUUUCCCACUUCUCGUGUAAUUGGUUUGCAAACCGUUUCAGCCCACAUCUCUUCUAGAGACUUCCAAGGGAGACCGGGGAACAAGCUGCUUUGAGCCAACAGGCCCCCUGCAGAGGCUGGAGGUAGCUGGAGGGGUGGGACCUUGUUCAGAGGCUGUGUAUAGGGAGGGCAUGGGCGGGGGCAAAUUCUAAUUGAUCUCUUAGAGGAUUUCCCUAGAAAUGAGACAUUACUGCCCUGACUGCAUUAUAUGUGUGCCUUCUAUGUAUGCAUCUUCACUGCCAAGUUUAUUGUGGGGCUGAUGCAUUUUUACUGCAUCUCCUAAAAGUAGACACAUUUUCAUCUUUUUCUGAAAUACAUAUCGUUAAAUCUCUCUACCAAUUCCUUCUGGCUUAUUGGACUCGGGGAGCCAGCUGUGAAGAAUGAUUUGUUUUCAGGCCACAAAGCCACCCCCAAGACAGGCCUCUGUCACACCCCUAUAGCCACAGGGGAGAGCGGAGGCAGGGAGAGUGGGAGGCUUUGGUGUGGGGUGUAAAUGAGGUUUUGGAAUAACAUUGGUUUCCUAUUCCCUCACAUGUUUUAAAAUCUGAUAGUUUUCUCAAGUGUUGAACUUGCCACGCUCCCAGUGCAAUAAUGUUGUCUUGCAUUUGUGUGGGGCUUUACAGCUUAGAAAAUGCUUUCAAUAUAUAUAUUACCUCUCAGUCCUCACCACCACUCUGUGAAGAAGCCAACGGAUCCAUAAAAGUCAUUCCUGUACCUCAGAGGGAUAAGCACGACUCAGAGAGGCUGAUCUGGGACCCUUGGACACUCGUUCGAGGUCAGAAGAGGUGGUGGGCGGUGGUGCAGUAGGCGAAGCAUCCCCCAAAGAUGUCAGGCCCUAAUGCUGGAGGCCUGUGAGUGUGUCCUUGUUGGGGGAAAGGGUAUUUUCAGGUGUAAGAUAAAGACUUGGGGUCAGGGACUUUAUCCUGGACUUUCCCCCUUGGAAAAUGCCCUGGAGAAGCACCUGUGCCUCAGGUUGGUGGAGAUGAUGCUGAGACAACCAGCUGAUAUGAAUCCAGCCCUCACUGUGAUGCUCAGAACCAUGGGCUUAGCAGAGAACUAGAAGCUGCAGUCCAUACCCUCAAGAUGGUCUCAGGAUGGCUGGGAAGGCAGGAAGCACAGGCAUGAAACGAUUAGCAAAGGGAACAGGACCGUGCUUGAUGAAGUGCCUGCCUAUGAAAUGUGCACCUUAAUUUCUUUUAUUUUUUUGUCUUUUUGUCUUUUUAGGGCUGCACCUAGAGCGUAUGGAGGGCUCCCAGGCUAGGGGUCUAAUCGGACCUGUAGCUGCCGGCCUACACCACAGUCAUUUCAAUGCUGGAUCCAAGCCGCACCUGCAACCUACAGCACAGCUCACAGCAGUGCCCGAUCCCCAACCCGCUGAGCAAGGCCAGGGAUUGAACCCAUGUCCUCAUGGAUACUAAUUGAGUUUGUUAACCACUGAGCCAUGGCGGGAACUCCUGCACCUUAAUUCCUGAGCUUGUCGCAUUUCUAGCACAGGCUGGAGAAUGCCCUGGCUUCUCUGCAGAGGGUCCAGGAAAAGGACUGAGCUUGGCACAGAUCACAUCUUCCCCAAGACACUCUGAGAUCCUUUGUGUUAAGCGUGCUAUUGGGGUAAAGUGUCAAGGCACUCCACAGGGCAGGCACUUUGCUCCUGUCGUGAGAAUGGAAGUGGCAGUGCCCAGGCAGGACCAGUGCCCAGGUGCCAGAUGUCCAGGCUCUACCCAGUGGAGGAGAUGGUAAAGGUGACAUUAGCUGUGAUCUCCAGGAGGAGGAGGGGGCAAUAAAGAGAAGAGUGAAAAUAAUUUAAA